GACGAACGCUGGCGGCGUGCCUAAUACAUGCAAGUAGGACGCAGUUGCGAACGUGUGAGUAACGCGUCGGUAACUGCCUAUUAGUGGGGGAUAACUAUUGGAAACGAUAGCUAAUACCGCAUACUAGUAGAUGGAGCUGCGUUGUAUUAGCUAGUAGGUAGGGGAAUGGCCUACCUAGGCAACGAUACAUAGCCGACCCGGGGUGGUGAGCGGCCACAAUGGGACUGGGAACCGGCCCAGACUCCUACGGGAGGCAGCAGUAGGGGAUCUUCGGCAAUGGGGGGAAACCUGACCGAGCAACGCCGCGGGAGUGAAGAAGGUUUUCGGAUCGUAAAGCUCUGUUGUUAAGGAAGCGGUACUUAAACAGAAAGGGACGGCUAACUACGUGCCAGCAGCCGCGGUAAUAC
rnacentral:rRNA from 1 species